CUCGAAGAGUAGGGCGGGACACGUGGUAUCCUGUCUGAAUAUGGGGGGACCAUCCUCCAAGGCUAAAUACUCCUGACUGACCGAUAGUGAACCAGUACCGUGAGGGAAAGGCGAAAAGAACCCCGGCGAGGGGAGUGAAAAAGAACCUGAAACCGUGUACGUACAAGCAGUGGGAGCACCUUCGGGUGUGACUGCGUACCUUUUGUAUAAUGGGUCAGCGACUUAUAUUCUGUAGCAAGGUUAACCGUAUAGGGGAGCCGCAGGGAAACCGAGUCUUAACUGGGCGUUAAGUUGCAGGGUAUAGACCCGAAACCCGGUGAUCUAGCCAUGGGCAGGUUGAAGGUUGGGUAACACUAACUGGAGGACCGAACCGACUAAUGUUGAAAAAUUAGCGGAUGACUUGUGGCUGGGGGUGAAAGGCCAAUCAAACCGGGAGAUAGCUGGUUCUCCCCGAAAGCUAUUUAGGUAGCGCCUCGUGAAUUCAUCUUCGGGGGUAGAGCACUGUUUCGGCUAGGGGGUCAUCCCGACUUACCAACCCGAUGCAAACUACGAAUACCGAAGAAUGUUAUCACGGGAGACACACGGCGGGUGCUAACGUCCGUCGUGAAGAGGGAAACAACCCAGACCGCCAGCUAAGGUCCCAAAGUCAUGGUUAAGUGGGAAACGAUGUGGGAAGGCACAGACAGCCAGGAUGUUGGCUUAGAAGCAGCCAUCAUUUAAAGAAAGCGUAAUAGCUCACUGGUCGAGUCGGCCUGCGCGGAAGAUGUAACGGGGCUAAACCAUGCACCGAAGCUGCGGCAGCGACACUAUGUGUUGUUGGGUAGGGGAGCGUUCUGUAAGCCUGCGAAGGUGUGCUGUGAGGCAUGCUGGAGGUAUCAGAAGUGCGAAUGCUGACAUAAGUAACGAUAAAGCGGGUGAAAAGCCCGCUCGCCGGAAGACCAAGGGUUCCUGUCCAACGUUAAUCGGGGCAGGGUGAGUCGACCCCUAAGGCGAGGCCGAAAGGCGUAGUCGAUGGGAAACAGGUUAAUAUUCCUGUACUUGGUGUUACUGCGAAGGGGGGACGGAGAAGGCUAUGUUAGCCGGGCGACGGUUGUCCCGGUUUAAGCAUGUAGGCUGGUUGUCCAGGCAAAUCCGGAUAAUCAAGGCUGAGGUGUGAUGACGAGGCACUACGGUGCUGAAGUAACAAAUGCCCUGCUUCCAGGAAAAGCCUCUAAGCAUCAGGUAACAUCAAAUCGUACCCCAAACCGACACAGGUGGUCAGGUAGAGAAUACCAAGGCGCUUGAGAGAACUCGGGUGAAGGAACUAGGCAAAAUGGUGCCGUAACUUCGGGAGAAGGCACGCUGGUGUGUAGGUGAAGUCCCUGCGGAUGGAGCUGAGACCAGUCGAAGAUACCAGCUGGCUGCAACUGUUUAUUAAAAACACAGCACUGUGCAAACACGAAAGUGGACGUAUACGGUGUGACGCCUGCCCGGUGCCGGAAGGUUAAUUGAUGGGGUUAUCCGUAAGGAGAAGCUCUUGAUCGAAGCCCCGGUAAACGGCGGCCGUAACUAUAACGGUCCUAAGGUAGCGAAAUUCCUUGUCGGGUAAGUUCCGACCUGCACGAAUGGCGUAAUGAUGGCCAGGCUGUCUCCACCCGAGACUCAGUGAAAUUGAACUCGCUGUGAAGAUGCAGUGUACCCGCGGCAAGACGGAAAGACCCCGUGAACCUUUACUAUAGCUUGACACUGAACAUUGAGCCUUGAUGUGUAGGAUAGGUGGGAGGCUUUGAAGCGUGGACGCCAGUCUGCGUGGAGCCAACCUUGAAAUACCACCCUUUAAUGUUUGAUGUUCUAACGUUGGCCCCUUACCGGGGUUGCGGACAGUGUCUGGUGGGUAGUUUGACUGGGGCGGUCUCCUCCCAAAGCGUAACGGAGGAGCACGAAGGUUAGCUAAUCCUGGUCGGACAUCAGGAGGUUAGUGCAAUGGCAUAAGCUAGCUUGACUGCGAGCGUGACGGCGCGAGCAGGUGCGAAAGCAGGUCAUAGUGAUCCGGUGGUUCUGAAUGGAAGGGCCAUCGCUCAACGGAUAAAAGGUACUCCGGGGAUAACAGGCUGAUACCGCCCAAGAGUUCAUAUCGACGGCGGUGUUUGGCACCUCGAUGUCGGCUCAUCACAUCCUGGGGCUGAAGUAGGUCCCAAGGGUAUGGCUGUUCGCCAUUUAAAGUGGUACGCGAGCUGGGUUUAGAACGUCGUGAGACAGUUCGGUCCCUAUCUGCCGUGGGCGCUGGAGAAUUGAGGGGGGCUGCUCCUAGUACGAGAGGACCGGAGUGGACGCAUCACUGGUGUUCGGGUUGUCAUGCCAAUGGCACUGCCCGGUAGCUAAAUGCGGAAGAGAUAAGUGCUGAAAGCAUCUAAGCACGAAACUUGCCCCGAGAUGAGUUCUCCCUGAGACUUUAAGUCUCCUGAAGGAACGUU
rnacentral:rRNA from 1 species